rnacentral:hammerhead_ribozyme from 1 species
CUCCAGGUGACGAGUUUCAAAUAGGGCGAAAUGCGCAUCCCGGAU